rnacentral:rRNA from 1 species
AAACCCUGACGCAGCAACGCCGCGUGAACGAGACGCCCUUCGGGGUGUAAAGUUCUGUCAGUAGGGACGAAAAAAUGACGGUACCUACAGAGGAAGCACCGGCUAACUCCGUGCCAGCAGCCGCGGUAAUACGGAGGGUGCAAGCGUUGUCCGGAAUCAUUGGGCGUAAAGAGUUCGUAGGCGGUAUGUAAAGUCAGGUGUUAAAGGCAGGGGCUCAACUUCUGUACGGCACUUGAUACUUGCAAACUAGAAUGCGGUAGAGGUAAAGGGAAUUCCUGGUGUAGCGGUGAAAUGCUUAGAUAUCAGGAGGAACAUCGGUGGCGUAAGCGCUUUACUGGGCCGUAAUUGACGCUGAGGAACGAAAGCCAGGGUAGCAAAUGGGAUUAGAUACCCCAGUAGUCCUGGCCGUAAACGAUGGAUACUAGGUGUUGCGGGUAUCGACCCCUGCAGUGCCGAAGCAAACGCGAUAAGUAUCCCGCCUGGGGAGUACGCACGCAAGUGUGAAACUCAAAGGAAUUGACGGGGACCCGCACAAGCGGUGGAACAUGUGGUUUAAUUCGAAGCAACGCGAAAAACCUUACCAGGGCUUGACAUCUGACGAACCUCGAUGAAAGUUGAGGGUGCUCUUCGGAGAGCGUCAAGACAGGUGGUGCACGGUUGUCGUCAGCUCGUGUCGUGAGAUGUUGGGUUAAGUCCCGCAACGAGCGCAACCCUCGUCGUCAGUUGGUGUUAUUGGUAUACUGAUAAUAAUCUCUCUGGCGAGACUGCCGGUGAUAAACCGGAGGAAGG